AUAAUCUGUGCAAAGGUGAAAAGCGGCGCCAGAAUUAAAGCUGUUCUUAUUUUCCUGUUAAAUUGUUUUAAAACAAGACCCAUAAAAACUACUUGCUUUAAUUAUAAGACCGCU
rnacentral:sRNA from 1 species